rnacentral:lncRNA from 10 species
CAACAAUUUACCCAUAAAACUAUAAUCAUUAACUGCCUUUCCUUUAUUGAACUCUAGAGCUUUGGCUUUAUAAUUCUAUUUGGCCUGUAUAUGCAGGAAGAGUAUUGAAAUGGUCUAUAUUUAUUUCUUCUCUCUGACAUAGAUGGAAACAGUCAGAGUGACUCUACACACUUCCUGCUUCCACGUUUAGCAUCCCCAAGUGAAGAGAUAUGAAGAGUGUUCAAAAGAUGCUACAAAAUGUUUAGUUUUCAACUCUCCAGAGGAAGCUGACAUGGCAACACUCUGUUAUUUGAAGAUUUGAGUUUUCCUACUACAAGGAAGAAGUUGUAACUUCUGACUUAGUAUGAGGUUCAAGCCAGAUGGAUCAUGUGAUGCAGUCUUGUCAAUGAGAUAGGUUUUUGCCCUGUUGCCCAGGCUGGUCUUGAACUCCUUGACUCAAGUGAUUCACCCUGUGAUUCAAUUAUCUCCACCUGGCCCUGUCCUUGACACAUGACGGUUAUUCAAGAAAACAGGAAGACAUUUCUCAAGAUUAGAAUGGUCCUGGAACAAAAAAUUGCCUUACCAAGUAAUCAGUGCCUACUAUUGGAUGUAUUCAGGUGCGGUGGGUCACGCCUGUAAUCCCAGCACUUUGGGAGGCCGAGGCGGGCAGAUCACGAAGUCAGUAGUUCGAGGCCAGCCUGACCAACAUGGCGAAAACCCAUCUCUACUAAAAUUACAAAAAUUAGCUGGGCAUGGUGGUGCGUGCCUGUAAUCCCAGGCUACACAGGAGGCUGAGGCAGGACGAUAGCUUGAACCCAGGAGGCAGAGGUUGCAGUGAGCCAAGAUCGUGCCACUGUGCUCCAGCCUGAGCGACACAGUGAGACUCCAUCUCAAAAAUAUAUAUACAUAUAAUAUAUAUUUGUAUAUAUAUUUUGUAUAUGUAUAAAUAUUUUGAGAUUUUUCUCUUUUUUUAAUAUAAAACACAAAACUCUUUUUAAGAUAAAACACAAAAAAGUAUCUACAUUUAUUUGAAAGAUAAAUUUCAGAUUUGACGAUUUUUUAUUUUACUUCUAUGAACUGCCAUACUACUUUCACAUGAGGUAUAAGAUAAAUGAAUUUUGACAAUUUUCUGAGUUAAGAAUUGAUUCUGUAAAAUUGUAGCCAAAUCCAGCUGAUUUAAUACUAUGACCCUAAUUCCUCUUUCAGAACUUACGUUAGUAGAGUUUGAAUAGUUAAGACUUGAAAUUAAGACCCUUGCUUUAGUACAUAAUCUCACAAAUGACUUUCAGAAAAUGGUGCAUCCAGUAUGUUUAUUUGGAGCUUCAAAUUUUUAAUAGUGUCAGAGUCUUUCACAGCACGCUACAAAUUUCAUGAGUAUCAGAUGUCAAGAUCAAACAAAACACAGUUGCCAGUAAAAUAACCAACUAUCAAUUUACUUCUGCUUUACAGUUAAUGUGUGUGCACCCACAUCAAUGAAAAAAAUAAACUUAAAUUUCUUAUG